GAGGUUAUAGCUCAGUGGUAGAGUGCCUGCUUAGCAUGCAUAAGGCCCUGGGUUCAGUCCCCAGUACCUCCA
rnacentral:tRNA from 1 species